GGUUUUGCCAGAAGUAGUUAGCCUAACCGCAAGGAGGGCGAUUACCACGGCAGGGUUCAUGACUGGGGUGAAGUCGUAACAAGGUAGCCGUAUCGGAAGGUGCGGCUGGAUCACCUCCUUU
rnacentral:ncRNA from 1 species